ensembl:lncRNA
GACUGUAAGCAACGACUGGCUUGGUCACAGGAGUGGGGAGAUAUCCGGGCUUUUGCAUUGCCCUUUGCUCCUCCCUGUUUGGCUUUGCAUGAGCUUUUAGGGAAAAAAGUCCAGCAGGGGCUGAGCUGUAAACACAGUCAGCCACAACUGCAAAUCUGUGGUGCUCUGCUGAAGGUCCUCAGACUGGACCAAUUCACAGCAGCAGGAGGAUCAAGCUUUCCAAAUCUGUGAUAGGACUGAAGCCUGCAUCCAGCCCUGUGGAGGAUGAGCCAUCUCCACUUUUUUUUUUAUCUCUGAAGAUGUCCUGGGGCAGAGCUGGAGGCCAAGGCCCACCGGAGCCUGCUCGCAUCACCAUGCCUGCUGAGCAGGAGACCGGGCCGCGCUGCUCCCACUAACCCCUGGCCACAGGCCCACUGGCUUCUGCGAUGGCCUCAGCAACAUCUGCUUCAUCCAUUAGCAUAGCACUCCUCUCCUGGCCUCUGGCCUGAGCCUUUGCUGCCAUUGAUUAGCAGCAAUUUCCUUCCCAAACCCGAAUGUUCGCCGGACGCCAGAUUGGAUUGCAGUCUGCCUGCCGUUGCAAAGCCACAGUGUGGGUGUGCAUGCACAGGAGUAUAAAUAGCACUGACUUGUUGCCCUCUGAGACGUUUCAGGAACUCUUCUGCUCUCGCUGAAGUUCGGAUUGCCUUCAGAUAUCUUCCCUUUGAGCUCAUGAGUAUAAACUUAUUUCGUGCCUCACCAGCUUUGACUCCUAAACCACGUUCUCGUGUUUGCAUGUUUCUCUCGUUCAACUUCAGCAGUUACAGCACCAGGUACCUUUUAGCAUCUCUGUUUGCUCCCCCGUCACCAUCUCAUCAUUUUGCAAAGCCCCUUGGAAAAUCUCCCUGCCUGGUUGCUGGAUGCAGACCUCAGUUAUUCCUAAAGCCAAAAAUACUGCACCUAAUUUAAAGCAAGCUGAAGCCAGGGCAUGGGGCUGCUGUUCAUUACGUUUUGCAGAUGAAGUGCUUGUGGGCCAUCUAUUUGGUUAGAAACUAAAUCUGUGAUUAGAAACCAAACAGAUGAUUUGAUGAGCCUUUGAGGAAGAGUGUGCUACAAUUCGAUGCUGUCCAACACAGGGCUAUACUCAGAGAUAAUCACUCUGCUUCACUCUGAGGUGAAAAUUGAAGCUUUUCUUGUGAGAGUCAAUAGCGACUACUACAAGCUAAGUUGCUGUGAGUGAGCCCAGCCAACAUAUUACAGGCCCCAAGAUGAAGAACAGUGACAUGAAACUGCAUCUGAGGCUGCAGUGCAGUGGCCCAAGCUGCCUCCGUUGUGUCAUUUCCUCCUCUUCUCCUGGUUGUCAGGAUUUGCAGUAGUGUUUCCAAAGGAGGUGACUCAGAAGCCGUACCUCCAUUUAGCAGCGCAUCAUGACAUGGAAGUGAACCAAAGCACUUAAGAACAUGAAGAAGAAGUGUAUAGCAAAGGAGGGAGGAUGGGGCUUAGGAUUGGAAAAUAAUUUGGGUCAGAAGAGCUGUCUGGAGGCCUCUAGUCCAGCCUUUGCUUGAUACCAGGCCGCCUGUGAAGCUGUAUCAUACCAAUGCCACUACGUUCUGCCUGCUAAUUGAAGUUGGGUGGGAUGGCUCUUCUGGUACAUUACAAUGCUGAUUUUGAAGACCUGCUUAGAUAGGCCUGUGACCUCCAGGAUCAUUCUGAUUACAAAUGUGUCCACCACAAAGCUGCAGAAAGCUUGUGAUGAGGAAGGGAAAAAUGUUCUUGCAUGUCAAUGUCCUUCCAGGAAAAAAAAAUGGAAACUGUAGUGUUUGGCUCACACAGGAGAGCAAACACAACAUCUCCCUGAGUGUCUAAAUUGCCAUCUGCAAUAGAGAGACAGGGUAAAGCUUGUUUACCAUGGCAGGCUUGAGGGUGAUGCAAUCUGUCAGAAUUAUAAAAUAUUCUUGGAACUGCUAAAUAUUAUAGAUGCUAAUUCCACUUCAGAAAGUAUCCUGGAGCAGAUGAAAUCUACUGAACAUCAACUUGACACAAAGUGAAAUGGCAUCAAUGUAGGAAUUAGCUCCUGCUUGGUCUCAGUUUCCUGGGACUUGCUCAAGGAUGAUUUACCAGUUGCUCCUAACUCUGUAAUCCAGUAAGGAAGGCUGCGCUGGUGAAAAAGACAAGUUGACAUAGAAGGGAAGUAAAACCCACUACUUAAAGCACAUGAAGCCUCACAACAGUCUGCAAGAGAUGGAAAUAGCAAAUGGAGAGCCAUGGAUGUGAAUGAGAUGUUAGAAGUUGUUAAUAACAAGGAAGCUAAAGGAAACAACAAGAAAUUUUUGGCCAGUGGCAUUAAAAACUGAAGAUAAAAGCCACCGUCCCCCCUGCUGCUUUCAGUCCUCCAUUGUCACCAUCUGAAAACCUGAGUCUUCAGGUUUGCAGGUGGAAGAGGCCAAGAGAGCUGCUCUCACGGAAGUGACCAUCAUGCUUUAUCCAGCCUACACAAGCCUACAAGUUACAUGAGACCACAUCCUGAAGCAGGCCGAGCCCUCCCAGCUUCAAGCACUUCCAUAUCACACAGAACACCAUUUCGUUGAGGAAAAACCCUCAACAGCACUUGAAAAGAAAGAAAAAAGAAAAUGACUUUAUUAUUUCCAUUGUGGUGGAAAGCAUUUGGUGUCUUCUUAAGGUGUGAGAGUUUGUGCGUCUGUGGCCAACUGCUCAAGUACUCCGAGCCCUUAUUCCUGCAUAUAAGCUGAUGUCCUGCUUAGAGUGGAGAUUUACAACCUGCUCACCAUGGGGGUUGCAUCAGUAAGACAUGUGUUCUCCUCGUUCUCAUACAUUAGCUUGUUUUGGGAGGGGAAAAUGGCUGCUCCCUUCAAAGAAAUCCCGGCUUUUGCUGAUGCUAUCUGGCAUUUUCACGGUGUCAUCAUUUUGCAACUCAUUUCGUGAUCCAGGGCAAAUGUGCGUCAGGGCAUUGGGGUUUUGGUAUACCACAGACGUCAUCUGCUUCUCAACUGCCGCUAACUUGAGGAAGUUGUCAAAAAUACAAUUGGUUUCUCCUACAGAGGAAAACACAUGGCUUAGAAAGCAGUGGGAGCUGCCUGUUUUCCUUUUUGGGUGAAGAACAGGAAUUUUCAGAAUUUGGUCAGAAAGUGGUUUGGGCUGUGGGAGAAGUUGGACUUUGAUCCCAGGGAAAAUCAACUUUGAGAUAACAAGCUCUACAAAAACUCCCCAUUUAUUUGGUACAUUCAUUUGUUUUCAACUAUGCAUGUGCACAUAAUGUGAAUGUAACUAUAUAUAUAAAAUGUCUUCCAUCCUUUCCUCUUUGUGACCGUAGCAGGAGGAAGGGCCUUUACAGCAGCCACCAAAGGACUAAGACGUGCGACAGAGGGAACAGCGUGUUCUUCCAGAGCAUGAAGCUUGGCUCUGGUGCUCACUUCAGGUGGUUAUAUGCGUGGCAUAGAUGCCACGAAUGACUCACAGAUGACUGCAGUACUUAAAAUUUCCUACAAGGGGUUGAUCUGAGGUGAACAGAUAGAGGAAGGAGACAUUAUAUGUAGCUCUGUGGACUGGUUCUUCAAGGGUGAUGCAGAAGUCAUUUGCAUGUGAAGUUCUCCCUCUGGCAAAGCUUAGUUUUACAGCAAAAUAUUCUCAGGAAUUCUGUUAUAUUGUGAAAGCCAGAUGAGGGAGGCUGCCUGAAAGCAAUACAAGAUGGCCAGUGUAUCUGGCAAACUAGAAACUUCCUGAUGUAUGUGUGAACAUGACCAAAUACUAUCUAAUGUGCCAAACUGCUCUGAAAGCACAUUUGAAUCAGAAUUAAGUUCAUGCAUCUGGGCCAUCCUGCAGCUGCUUCUACAGGAACGUGUUUGGGUCUAUAGUAGCCUUACUUUCAAGCUUGACCUGUCUUCUGUUGCUUGUAUCUCUUUUGGAGAACUAGAAGACCUUCAAAAGAAACAGCUGUGGUUCUUAUAGUCAUCAGUAGUACUUCCAGCUUGUUUCAGAGAUGCAGCUUGCCCAUUCUCUUUCCGUGCUGCAAUUUGAAAGGUUGAAUGGACUCAAGACAUGCCAAAAUGAUGCACAUUUGGUAUCACUAAAAUUUUCAGCACUUACUGCUUGUCACCAUAAGCAGAGUUGUAACCACACAGGUGCUGCAUCAGAAGAGAGAAAAGCUGGAGCCAAUACUAGUGGAAUCAUUUGACCUGACCUCAAUGGCAAGGGGCAGCCCCAUGACGUGAAGGCUGGAAGUUCCUGUGUCCAAGGGCAAAAGCUUUGGAAAACUCAGAGGGUAAAGUAGCCAUGCGUUUCUCGAGAUCUACAUUCACUUCUACUUUUAGUGGCUUGGACCAAACCUUAAUGUAAGCAACUGCUUUGGCAUGUUGCACUAAAAUUUUAUCUGGAUGGUGUCGCAAUGUCCUUUGGGCUGUGGGAGAAGACAGUGCUUGAAAUAUGCAUGUUUGAGCAAGUUCAACGCAGCUUGCUUUUGCUGGAGCCUGACUUUCUUUCCUGGACAAAGCCAGAGAUUUGUGGAGUCUAAUAAUGUGUCAGCAAACCAACUUGGCAUAUAGAAAUGAGAAGGGCGAGUCCCUGUUCCAGUUGCAUAAAAAUGUCAGAGUGUGUGGGGAGUAGAUGAAGGUAAAAUUAAGGCCUAGUUUAUUUUCUUUCCUUUAAAGUGUAUUGUGUUUCUUGCUGAUGAGAAUGAUUUCAUAAUUACAAGCAUAUGGUGAAAAUGUCUGGGUAUCGGUAGAGAGUUGAGAUCUGAACUCAGGUCUGGUCUAGACUAUAUUCCUGUGGUCGUACAGUAGGUAAAUCUUCUGGCACAAUUUCUUGACUUUUUAACACGAGAAGCACUGCCAGCAUGUGAUGACCCAGAUAGACCAUUGGUGAUCUCAGAGAACAUGGUCUAUUUGCUUUCUAGUUUUGCCGACAUGCUUGGGGUCAGCAUUUUGAGCCAUACCCCGUAGGCAUGUCCUAGACAUUUUCUUCUGACACCAAGGAGAAUUGAUGUAACUACUGGUUUUCAGGAAUGCAAGCUUUAAAACAAAUAAUCAGAAGUUAAAAAACUUGUUGUAAAACUGACAGUUCAUGUUUUACUUGUUAACGUUGUUCCAAAUGUAAAAUUGGAGUGUGCUUUAAAAUCGUUACAGUGCAGUUCCCCAUGAGGCAAAAUGCCUUCAGUCUGCUGGGAAUGACAAACAAUAAUGGCAGAAGGAAAGUCAACAGGGCUAAAAUUAAAAUACUUGUGUUUAUAAUUGCUUUUACCAAGUUCCUGGAAGGCCCCUGUUUCAGAUGCAGGAUCCUGUAGGGUUAGGUGAAAUAGAACAGAGCAUAAUCCCAGUCCCAGAAGGUUUUGAGCUAUGCAGGUCUCUUCCAUUGACCAGACUUCCACUGACACUCUUGGAGACCAUGUUACAGACAUAUCAUUUCUAAUUGAAAAAAAUAAUUUAUAGAUUUUUUUUUCAACAGCAAAUUAUAUUUCUUCCAUCUUGUUAAUGACUGUUGGAUGGACAAUGCAGAAGGAUCCCUUUUGCAGGACAAAAAGGCUACAAAAAUAAUAGAAAUGAACGUCUGCAGCUGAAGAGUUUGGCUGGGACUUGAAAAGUUUGCUUUGGGUACGAGCCAGGUCCUGCUGAGGUCUGCAGGAAUUUUGCUCUUGGCCUCAGUGGGACCAAGCUUUCACCCUUGGAGGCCAUGUCCUGAGGAAGAAUUUAGUCUGAAAUAGUUUUCAAAACUUGUAUUGUUUGACUCACAACCAAGCAUUUUGUUGAGACUGAAUGGCUUUGUAUUUCUGAUUGACUCAUGUUGCUCAUCUUAGCAUCCUGCAGCAGUGAUCUCUCAAGGAAAUCCAAGUGUGAGAGAGGAUUGCAUGUAAGGUUCCUAAACCAAAAGCUUCUUGCAGGUCUUCCCAGGUGUCUGCUUAAGCUGUAUAUUUUUGGGAGGAGAUGUGCCUUGGAGCCCCAGCACAUCAGCACACUGCACUGAAGCUAUGGCUGUGACCUGUGGCAUGACUGGGAUAUGCCCAUCCAGACCCUGGUCAUCUUUGAUAGACCCAUCCCUCCAUUCUGCAUAUGAUUCUGUGAUUCAUGGUGAAACAAAUAUUUGAAGGAAGAACAGAGAACUAGUAAAGUGUUUUGAUUUAUACCUCACAUGUAUGCCCUUCCUUAUUACCCCCUUGGUCAUUUUUCCUGUAGACCUCAGAGACCACAUUGAAAAUAACCACUAUCAAAGUGAGGUUUGUGCCAUUCUUCUUCUUCUUCUGAUUAGAGCUAGGAUAACACAUUCAAAUAAUAAGUCUGAAGCUGGGCAUGGGUGGGACAACACUACUGUACUCUUAACACUGCAUGUUCUAGGCAGAUUUAACAUGCAGGUCUUGCAUUGUUGGACUGCACAAGUGUAGUAAUGUUGGAUUUUACUGCUCUAUAUCAACUUGUGAUGAAACGUGGUGACAUCAGCGGAGACAAAGGCCCAUUUCGUAUAAAGCUUGCAGAAACACCAAGUGCUUGUUUGGCCAUUCAGAACACGGAGCUGGGGAAAACAACUUGCUCAGUUCACAGCCCUGAAUCCUCUGGAGAUGCGUGGCUGGGUUAUUUCCUUGAUAUUCUGUGAUAUUAUGACCUGUUCUAAUAGCACAGGAUCAUAGAACUGUAGGAGUUGGAAGGGAGGAUUAUUGAGUUCCAGCCCCUGCUAAAGCAGAUUCCAUACAGGAGGUUGCACAGAACAGUAUCCAGACCCAAAGAAGGAGACUCCACAACCUCUGUGGUCAGCCUGUCACAUUUAAGCAGUUUAUAGUUAUCAUGAUUUAAGAUUUUCCUCCCAAAGUCAAUUGGUUUCACAGUAGACCCCAACAAAUCAGUAUUUUUGUUUUGCUGAAAUGGAGUGUGAUAUCAUUUUAAUGGCUCCUUUCUGAAAACCUUGAAAGCUGCUUAAGAAACAGAUUCACAGUGUAUGGGCUCGAAAACUAUCCCAUUCUGGUGCACUUGAAGUUGUCGAGCACAGAGUGCAUAAUUUAGAAUUGAAAAGAAAAAGAUGUAUCUGUGAAUUAAGGACUGCAAUACAGGAGCUAUCAACCACCAAGAGGCUCUUUUAACCUCAGCAGAGCUGUGCUCUUUAAUGUGUUUUUGUGGGGAAGAAGAAUAAAAAGGAAAUCUGAGAAAACUGAUCUUUAUUUUUAGAAAAAUAAUUUCUUUUUGCUAAGGAGGACUUUUUAUUUUCUGUGCUCUAAAUAAAGCAGUGAUAUGGUCCUGUUGUGCCUCAGGCUAUCCGCUUAAAAGAAAAGGCUCCAAAGAUGGACCAUCUGGAAGCCUGUGCAAGAGCACGCCAGUGCUGUUUGAUGUGGAAGAG